UAACCCUAUCUUUUCUUGAAACCAAACAGUCGCACCCUUCCUCUUACGCCUCUGCCCACCAAACUAGCCGGAAUCGGGCGAGUCCACUCACCUGAGUUCCAUGGUCCCUCCCCCCCUCUCUCAUCUUAUCCUUCCUCCACGUAGCAAUGAUAACAAACUCAGAAUAUUCUCUAAUGAUUUCACCCAAAUCGAAUCCGCCAUCCCUCUCACGCGCUUUAGCUUUCUUGAACAAAUCUCGGAUAAAUGGGAGCGGUUGGAUGUGAGUGAAAGCCCAUCCACGCCUUCCAUUUUUCCGAUUUUUUGUUUUAUGAAAAUUUUUCGGGAGUUUUCAGCUUUUUGAAGUUAUUUUGGGAGAUAAUUUUCGAAUUUCUUGGAGAAGAAGCAAGAAGAAGCUUCUAGGAUCCUAUAUAUUUGGGAUUUUCAGACAGAAAAUGGUGAUGGGGGAGAAAAUUAGGGUUCUAAGAGUGAGUUUCUUCUUCUCAUUUGGUCCAUUCCCAGUUAAGUUUAAGUUCCAGAAAAGCAAAAAUACAAAAAAAAAACUAGAAAAGCAAAAAUACAAAAGAUUUUGGGUUCUUCUUUUACACAUUUUGGUUCAAGAACGAAAUGGAUGUUAGUUGAGGUUUGAAGCCGAUUUGGGUUGCUGUCCGUUGUUCGAAACUCGUGGUUCCUGUUUGACUUAGCUGUCGUAUUCUCGAGUGGCCUUUUGAAUUUGAAGCUUUGUAGCUGAUUGCUUUGAUUCUCUGUUAUUAAGAAGAAAUUUGCACUCAGGUUCAUAUCCUAUCUCUUCUUUUAUCUAAAGUAUGACUGAGACUAUGAUGAGACUUUAGGAUUAAAACAAACUUAAGCGUCUAGAAUCUGCCUAUGUUUUCAAGAUGUUGAAUGUGUUCUACUUCAGUUCUUUUGAAUCUGCCUUGCUCGUCAUGUUGAGAUUAAGCGUGCGUUGCAUCUCGGAAACCUUGUUGUGAUAUUUUCUGCUUGAUCUCAAUCAUAUUCAUUUGGUUUAAGAUACUGGCGCUGCCAUCUUCUUUGCUCUUUCAGUCUUGCUUAAAUUGUCCUUGGUUUGAAGAUAAUAGCGAUAUUUGAGUAGUAUAGAGUGAUCCUAUUUUCGGCAGAAUCGAGUAUGUGUGGUUUUAAUGUCACUUUGAUUCAUUGGUUUGCAUUUGUUCCUUGAAGUUUGACAUAAAAGCGCAUUGAAAGUUUUCACCAUUUUGCCUCAAAGUUAAUUUGUCAUUUUCGGAUAUCCUAGUUCAGUAGAGGUAAUGUGAAGCUAGUUUUGGAUUACCACUGGAGUUGAAUUUUCUUUGCCCUUUUAAUUCUUAAAUGUAGGAAUCUAGUCCUUGAUUGAAUGAAUCCAGUAUAUUUCUACAACAACAACAACCCAGUAUAAUCCCACUUAAUGGGGUUUGGGGAGGGUAGUGUGUACGCAGACCUUACCCCUACCCUGAGGUAGAGAGGCUGUUUCCAAAUAGAAACCCGAUAUCCUUCCCUCCAAGAACUUCCCACCUUGCUCUUGGGGAGACUCGAACUCACAACCUUUUGGUUGGAAGCGGAGGUUGCUUACCAUCAGAGCAACUCCUCUUCUCUUGUCUAUUCAGUAUAUUUCUAAAAAAAUGCAAAUAAAGUGCUACAGGAUGUUAGCUUAGCAGAAUAAGAAUUCUUGUGCCAUGAGGAUUAUGUGCUUCCUCUUGUUCUGUUGGCAUUCUUCCCUCCCAUUAAUUUGGUUACUAAUGUUAUUACAUUUUCUUAGUGUACUUGCGUGGCGCCUUUUAAGAUAGUAUAGGAACAAGUGAUUAACUUAGAUGACAAAGUAAAUUCAGGCUUGAUAAGUGAGGUUUAAAGGAUUUGAGAUUAUCAAAUGGGGUUGGUAAGACAUCUGACAAUUGGUUUUUCCCAAAUUCACUUUGUUUUCUCACUUGCGUUUCAGAUUAUUGAUAUAUAGUUUUGGUUAGUUGCUUAUUCAUAUUCUUUGAAUGCUUUAAGCUCUUGUUGGUGGAAUGUCUAUUUCUAGUCUUUGUUUGUGUGCACAAUUUAUGUGAUUCCUUAUGUGGACGAUUCGAAUGAAUUAUUGUAUAGAGUCAUGGGAGUUGGGAAAAAGACUUGGCCCAUUAAUGUUAAUUUGCUUACAUAAUUAGGAAUUGGGCUUGGUCAAAUGCAUGAAAUAAGAAGUUAAAAGAAAAGUGAGCAUGAAAUGAGUUUUAUUUAAUUUUAUUUCUAUCUUUUAAUCGCUAGGAGCAUGCUUAGGCCGACCACAUUUGGGUAGGCAAGCUUUAGGACUCCUGUUAAUUUUGAGGCGAGAGGUCGUUCCCUUAGUUAAAUUUAUCCGGGGAAUGGCCCAAAGUAUUUGUAUAUAUUUAUUCCGGGGUAUGCCCCGAAGUAUUUGUAUUUGGAGGUCGAUAGUAGAACUCGUAGUAUUUUUAUUUUUAUUUUUCAUUUUUUCUUUUACUAGGUGGGGACGACUUUGAGCUUCGCAUGUGUUUAUUUUGCUUUUCCGUGUUUAUUUUUACCUCAAUUUGAAUUCUAAAAGCUAGCUAGAUCAAGUACGCAAUCGUGACAUUUACGGGACUUGGGGAGUGUCUAACACUUUCUCCCCGAGUCAAAUGAACCCCUUUACCUAAAUUUCUGGUGCGGACUUGGUUUUAGAGUCUAAAUGUUUAAAAUGGAAAAAUUAUUUUUUUUUAAAAAAACGGUGACCUAGCACACCGAAAUCAAAGUGAGUUGACGACUCUGAGUUAUUUCCUUUUGAACACAAUUUUGUCACCUUUUAAUUAAAAAUCCUUUUGAGCUUCAAAAAUUCUUUUAUUAUUUUUAAGAGGGUUAGUGAGAUUUGAAAAAAAAUGGGGUGUGACAUCAUCUAAAUCUUCAGCUCCAUCUAUUUGUUAGUCGCUAAAGAAUAUCAUAAUAUUGUGCUUCUAUUAAUACUGAUUUCUUCAAAACCAAUCCCAUGUGAGAUAAUAAUUGACCUCAAUUUGUAUUAUGAUAAGUGUCUUUCUGAUUUAGCUUUGAAUUUUUUUAUUUUUUUAUUUUGUGUGUGUGUGGAGGUGGGGGGGGGGGGCAAAUUUACCUUUUCUAUUUGACUAAAUUAUAUUUUUUAAGUUUGAAUUUUUAUGUUGUUACUAUAACAAAAUGCAUUUUUUUUACUGUUGUUUUUCUUGUUCUUCUGUUAAUUUUGUUGAACUUUUCUUUUUACUAAUAAGCUAAACAUGUUCGUUAUUGCACCAAACAUCAACUUCAUACCACUUCAACACACAGCUAGCAUAUAUUUUCAAGAUAAUAGUCAACAUACAUAGUUUUUUUCUUUAAAUUUUUAUUUUUUUUAAAUAUAGGCAUAAGAGGCAAAAAAAAUUUAGCUUUGAUUUUAGUUAUAACUUUUUCAUUUUUUAUAAUAUAUUUGUCACCAUCAUUUCUCUUUUAACUUCGUAUAACCAUCAUCAACCCUUUUCAAUCCUGAAACUUCUCUCAAUUUAUCCAAUUUGCAUGUAAUUUUAUGUUUCAAUUUAAUUUUUUUCUAUGUCCAUUGACUUAAUUUCUUUUCAUAACGACAAAAAAAUAAAGAAUACUUUUGUCUUUGUUUCAAUUUUAGUAAUAAUUAUAAAACGUAUUAGCUCCAAGAUCACGCCCAAUAAUGCCUUAUAAAAAGAAUUAAGGGUCAUUGCAAAUAUAAUUCGAUUUACAAGUCCGAAGUCGAAUCCCACAAAGAACUAAGGCUUAGCUACAGUUGUUCAAUAUCGCUAAGAAACACAAGUUCAAACAAUUUUCUAAUUAUAAAGAUUGCGGUUCUUAUUUUUAAACUAAUUAAUUAGAAAGCAGUAAAAUUAUUAAUUAAGGAGACUAAGACUUGUAGACAAGAUUAAGGAGGUCUAGAGUUAUGAUUUCCCCAAUUGCCGGAAUUUUUCCCGCUAAGUCUUCUAUAAUUUCGCAUAUGUAUUCUUUACCGAUCGUGGGUACUUUGGGUGUUGUAGCUCUCUCUCGAGCAACUACCACAAUUUAUGCUACAAACCCAAAUAACACCAAAGUAUAUUGUAUUGAUAAAUUGGCAGUAAUAGGAACAACUCAGCUAAAGGAAAUUACAAAGAACUCAAACACCACAAGAAUGGGGAUGAGAAGACACAGAGAGAAGGAAGAUGAGAGGCACAGAACUUUCACAUAAUACAAGCCUACUGUAAUUCUUAUUCUACUAGGUAUUUAUAGGGAAUGCUAAAUCCUA
rnacentral:lncRNA from 1 species